CUGACACAUGAAUCAUUCUGGCAGCUGGCAUUCUCCUGCAGCAUUCUGUGAAAAAAACACAAACAUGUCCUCUUUCUGAUCAGGAUCUGCCAUAUGCCAACAAGUGGAUCCUUCCACCUCACUUAGGCAGCUUGAAGUGUAUCUUUCCACGUAUUCUUGGCUUUGAUGAGAGAACAGAUAUUCUUCUAAUGUUUCUGCUAACAUAGAUGCCAGAACAAUUUCAUGAAGAGGAAACAAACUGCUGAACUCGUAACCACAUCAAGCCAAAUGAGCUGUAGAAACACAGUUAAGAUAUCCAUAGCCCAUUACUACAUUAGCAGUGAUAACAAAUACGAAAUUGCAAGACUGUUACAGAACAUGCUAUAAAAGUAAAAUUUAUUUAAGAUGACUGUAGAGAUAGUAAUGAAAGACAUAAUGAAAAUGGAACAGGGUGAAAGAGGAGAGGUAAUAUUAAGAAAAUUAAAAAGACAGAAGAGAGGAGAAGGUGAAGAAUAUUGUCAAAGUGAGGAAGUAUAAAAAACUGGGAAAAAGGAAAAAUAAAAAGCA